rnacentral:rRNA from 1 species
GCACAUUGGGUAGGGGAGCGUUCUGUAAGCGGUUGAAGGUGUGUGGUAACGCAUGCUGGACGUAUCAGAAGUGCGAAUGCUGACAUGAGUAACGAUAAAGGGGGUGAAAAACCUCCUCGCCGGAAGACCAAGGGUUCCUGUCCAACGUUAAUCGGGGCAGGGUAAGUCGACCCCUAAGGCGAGGCCGAAAGGCGUAGUCGAUGGGAAACGGGUUAAUAUUCCCGUACUUCUUACAAUUGCGAUGGGGGGACGGAGAAGGCUAGGUGGGCCUGGCGACGGUUGUCCAGGUUCAAGUGCGUAGGCUUAAGAGUUAGGUAAAUCCGGCUCUUUUUAAGGCUGAGACACGACGUCGAGCACCUACGGGUGUGAAGUCAUUGAUGCCAUGCUUCCAGGAAAAGCCUCUAAGCUUCAGAUUGUAAGGAAUCGUACCCCAAACCGACACAGGUGGUCGGGUAGAGAAUACCAAGGCGCUUGAGAGAACUCGGGUGAAGGAACUAGGCAAAAUGGUACCGUAACUUCGGGAGAAGGUACGCUCUUGAUGGUGAAGUCCCUCGCGGAUGGAGCUGACGAGAGUCGCAGAUACCAGGUGGCUGCAACUGUUUAUUAAAAACACAGCACUGUGCAAAAUCGUAAGAUGACGUAUACGGUGUGACGCCUGCCCGGUGCCGGAAGGUUAAUUGAUGGGGUUAGACUUCGGUCGAAGCUCUUGAUCGAAGCCCCGGUAAACGGCGGCCGUAACUAUAACGGUCCUAAGGUAGCGAAAUUCCUUGUCGGGUAAGUUCCGACCUGCACGAAUGGCGUAAUGAUGGCCACGCUGUCUCCACCCGAGACUCAGUGAAAUUGAAAUCGCUGUGAAGAUGCAGUGUACCCGCGGCUAGACGGAAAGACCCCGUGAACCUUUACUACAGCUUGGCACUGAACAUUGACCCUACAUGUGUAGGAUAGGUGGGAGGCUUUGAAGCACGUACGCCAGUAUGUGUGGAGCCGUCCUUGAAAUACCACCCUUGUAGUGUUGAUGUUCUAACGUCGACCCCUAAUCGGGGUUGCGGACAGUGCCUGGUGGGUAGUUUGACUGGGGCGGUCUCCUCCCAAAGAGUAACGGAGGAGCACGAAGGUGGGCUAAUCACGGUUGGACAUCGUGAGGUUAGUGCAAUGGCAUAAGCCCGCUUGACUGCGAGAAUGACAAUUCGAGCAGGUGCGAAAGCAGGUCAUAGUGAUCCGGUGGUUCUGAAUGGAAGGGCCAUCGCUCAACGGAUAAAAGGUACUCCGGGGAUAACAGGCUGAUACCGCCCAAGAGUUCAUAUCGACGGCGGUGUUUGGCACCUCGAUGUCGGCUCAUCACAUCCUGGGGCUGAAGUCGGUCCCAAGGGUAUGGCUGUUCGCCAUUUAAAGUGGUACGCGAGCUGGGUUUAGAACGUCGUGAGACAGUUCGGUCCCUAUCUGCCGUGGGCGUUGGAAGAUUGAAGGGGGCUGCUCCUAGUACGAGAGGACCGGAGUGGACGAACCUCUGGUGUUCGGGUUGUGUCGCCAGACGCAUUGCCCGGUAGCUAAGUUCGGAAUCGAUAACCGCUGAAAGCAUCUAAGCGGGAAGCGAGCCCUGAGAUGAGUCUUCCCUGAUACUUUAAGUAUCCUAAAGGGUUGUCGGAGACUACGACGUUGAUAGGUCAGGUGUGUAAGUGCUGUGAGGCAUUGAGCUAACUGAUACUAAUUGCCCGUGAGGCUUAACCAU